rnacentral:rRNA from 1 species
UACGUAGGGUGCAAGCGUUGUCCGGAAUUAUUGGGCGUAAAGAGCUCGUAGGCGGUUUGUCGCGUCUGCUGUGAAAACUCGGGGCUCAACUCCGAGCUUGCAGUGGGUACGGGCAGACUAGAGUGCGGUAGGGGAGACUGGAAUUCCUGGUGUAGCGGUGGAAUGCGCAGAUAUCAGGAUGAACACCGGUGGCGAAGGCGGGUCUCUGGGCCGUAACUGACGCUGAGGAGCGAAAGCAUGGGGAGCGAACAGG